CAGGUGCUGUAGGAAUUUUCCAAGGCUACAGGUCUGGCCUCAACAAGUUGCCUACAAUGUCAGUCUCUCAUUCUCCAUUCUGGAGGCUGCAAGUCCAAGAUCAAGGUGUCUGCAUCGUUGGUUGCUUCUGGCGGCUGUUGAGAAAGAAUGUGUUCUAGUCCUCCCACCUAUCAUCUAAAGCUCUAGAGAAAUCUCUCCAAAAGGGACAAAGCUCCCAUUGAAGCCGGGUCCUACUGAAAAACACUCUGAGGCCUUGGACUGUCAUCUCCGAAAGAAUCCAAAGUUGGCAUGAAAUACUGCAGGAAGGGCUCGGCCUUACGAUGGCCCAGCUGUUGCCAUUCUUUCUCGACAAGCGUUAUGCACGUACCGCCCUCCUCUCUCGAAUGAACUAGCCAAGUUCUAAUAACUUACCUGGUUUCUGCUCAUAGAGGCCAUGCAUUUUCUUCUUUGUGGAAGGCAAGUUUCUCUCAGCAUCCCAUCCUCAUUUCCAAACUGUCAAUAAUACCUACCUGCAAGUUAACCAGCUAGACUGCCACAAUUUCAUGGAUGCUGGCAGAAGACAUGAGACUCCCGGGUCAGAGAAAGAGAACUUCACUCACUCACGCAACUAUAGCACGUGACCAAGGGUAUCAGCAUUAUCUUGCACUGGUUCAUUGGGUCCCACACAGCAAUGUGAAAAUAAAUAAACUACCCCUGCACACAGUGAAUUGUACUGCAGAAGAUAAAUCCUAAGUUUAGGAACAAAAUCUUUAAAAAUGGGCCGUAAGCCUGCUUGCUCUUUGUCCUUGGGAGAGACAUCAUCUCUGUCUUCUAAGGCUGCUUGCUAUACAAGCAUCUUUGAAAAGAUAAUAUAAAACAAAGGUAGUAUAUACCGCUGCCCUCUAUAAAAUUCAAGAGACUGUUAGAAAACUGUCUCCCAACAAAGUGUAAUGAAGACACAUUUAUCCCCUGGCUUGUGGUAUAAACCACUACACUUGGAUAAGUCAAGCACAGUUUUAUUUCUAAAGUUAGUGGUGGGUUUUUUUUGUUUGUUUUUUGAGACGGUGUCUUGCUCUGUCGCCGGGCUGGAGUGCAAUGGCGCAAUCUCAGCUCACUGCAACCUCCGCCACCUGGGUUCAAGCAAUUCUUCCGCCUCAGCCUCCGGAGUAGCUGGGACCACAGGCACGUGCCACCAUGCCCGGCUAUUUUUAGUAGAGAUGGUGUUUCACCAUGUUGGCCAGGAUGGUCUUGAUCUCUUGACCUCGUGAUCCGCCCGCCUCGGCCUCCCAAAAUGCUGGGAUUACAGGCAUAAGCUACCA